rnacentral:tRNA from 1 species
GGGCCCGUAAGGUAACCUGGAUAGCCUACAAGGCUUCGAACCUUGCAGUGUGGGUUCAAAUCCCACCGGGCCCG